rnacentral:rRNA from 1 species
UACGUAGGGGGCAAGCGUUGUCCGGAAUUAUUGGGCGUAAAGAGCGCGUAGGCGGCUUUGCAAGUGGCGGGUGAAAGCCCUCGGCUUAACCGAGGAACUGCCUGUCAGACUGUGAGGCUUGAGACCGGGAGAGGUGAGUGGAAUUCCCAGUGUAGCGGUGAAAUGCGUAGAUAUUGGGAGGAACACCAGUGGCGAAGGCGGCUCACUGGACCGGAACUGACGCUGAGGCGCGAAAGCGUGGGGAGCAAACAGG